UACGGAGGAUGCGAGCGUUAUCCGGAUUUAUUGGGUUUAAAGGGUGCGUAGGCGGACUGUCAAGUCAGCGGUAAAAUUGAGAGGCUCAACCUCUUCCCGCCGUUGAAACUGGUGGUCUUGAGUGGAUGAGAAGUACGCGGAAUGCGUGGUGUAGCGGUGAAAUGCAUGGAUAUCACGCAGAACUCCGAUUGCGAAGGCAGCAUACCGGCGCCCGACUGACGCUGAGGCACGAAAGCGUGGGGAUCGAACAGG
rnacentral:rRNA from 1 species